GACGUAGGGCGCGAGCGUUGCCCGGAUUUAUUGGGCGUAAAGAGCUCGUAGGCGGUCUGUCGCGUCGGCUGUGAAAUCCCGGGGCUCAACCCCGGGCCUGCAGUCGAUACGGGCAGACUAGAGUGCGGUAGGGGAGACUGGAAUUCCUGGUGUAGCGGUGAAAUGCGCAGAUAUCAGGAGGAACACCGGUGGCGAAGGCGGGUCUCUGGGCCGUAACUGACGCUGAGGAGCGAAAGCGUGGGGAGCAAACAGG
rnacentral:rRNA from 1 species